CCCAUGAAAGCUUAUGCUCUAAUAAAUUUGUUAGUCUCUAAGGUGCCACAAGUACUCCUGUUCUUUUUUUGAAAAUUCAAACUAACUUUUUGUUACCCCUUUCCCGCCGGGAUCCAUUGCCUGCAGACUGCCCUGCAGAAAGUCUCUGGGAUGAAACGUCUUGUCCCAUCUGCCUAGAGUAUUUCCAAGAGCCAGUACCGGUCUAUCCACUGCGGGCACAACUUCUUCCGGGCCUGCAUCAGCCAGUGCUGCGGGGAAAUAAGUACAAACCUUUCCUUCCCCCCAGUGCAGAGAAACUGCCCGGCAGAGAAACCUGCAGCCCAGGAGGGGAGCUAGUGUGUGAGAGACACCAGGAGGCCCUGAAACUCUUCUUUGAAGUGGAUCAAACCCCAAUCCGCGUGGUGUGUGAUAGAUCCAAGGCUCUGAGCCAGAUCUCACACGGUGGUUCCCAUAGAAGAUGCUGCCCAGGAGGACAAGCAAUCAGCAAUGUGGGAGCAGAGUCGGAGGCCAGUGCUACAUAUGAGAGGCCAGUGCUACAUACGGAGGCCUGGACCCAGCUUGCGUUCCUAAGAUGAACUGGCUGUCCUCUGUGACCUGCUGUUCUCCCCCAGUUCCUGCACCAUCCAUGGCCUGGCGUGAACAAUUCCAGACCCGACUGCAGGCUCUGAAGGAAGAGAGAGAAAAGCUCCUGGGAUGGAAACUGACUGGAGAGAGGAGAAGCUCAGAGUACCUGUGUAGAGAGCUCACCUGCCCAGCUGAGCAUGUGGGGUCCACGCUCCAAACGCUCUCCUGCCUGGAGUCCGCAGGAGGUGUUGGAUCUCCUUGGCCUGUGGGGAGAAGAGGGUGUGCAGGCAGAGCUCCAAUCCAGCCGUAGAAAUGCAGAUGUCUCUGAGAAGAUCGCUCGGGGCAUGGUGGAGAAGGGCUAUCAGAGGGACCCAUGGCAGUGUCGCGUGAAAGCCGAGGCGUGGCAGCUCGCGUAGCAGAAGGCAAGGGAGACGAACGGUCGCUUUGGUGCAGCACUGCCGACCUGCCCCUUUUACAAAGAGCUGCCUGCCAUCCUCUGCGACGACCCCCACCCCCAAGAGCCGCCUGGAGUCCUCGGAGGAGUCGGAGUCCCAGGGCACUGCAGGCAGUGGUGAGGUGGAGCUGCUGGUCGAGGAAGAGGAGGAGAUGAACGGGAGACAGGCGAGCGGGGGAUCCGUUGUCCCAGGGAGCCAGGAGCUGUGUGUAACCCUGGAGCAGUCCAGCCAGUCGCAGCACUGCAGCAUGGCUGACCGCGAUGCUGGGGAGGGUACCUCUGCCAGGAGUGCAGCCUGGGGCUCUCCCUCCACAUUGGCAGAGAGGCUCUUCCAGAUAAGACGAAGGCCAAAGAGAACCUGAGACGACACACCGAAUGAGAGAAUGAACACCUCUGGGAGGGCAGACACCAAGCCGAGGACCACUGUCUCGGAAAAAACGGACGUUCUGCGCAGGGCGCAAGCCAAGAAGACUGAGCGUGGCAUGCAGCAGGAGGUGCUGGGGAUUCUGAAGGAACAAACAGACAUUUUGAGGCGUCUGCUUGACCUUCAGGAGAGAUACUUUAAGUCUCGACUCCCACUGCAGCCCCUCCACUACAGCACUCUAACAUCACCCUACUUCCCCUCCCCUCCUUGCACACAUUCCACUUGGCGUAGCGGCCCAAUGCAGUAUCCCUUCCUCUCAAUCCCCAGGGAGGGUGCACGGAAUCCCAGCUGCCCAUUCACUGAUGUGUGGCAGGCCGGGUCCAUGCACUUUUAAACAGAAGGGGAAUGUGCAUUCCCCCUCCCAGUUGUAUAUUCCCCUGGGGUUUCCAAGGUUUACCUCCGUGGCACGUAUUUCUGUUUCUGUGUGCAAUAAAAGUCCAUUUCUCAAAAACGAAACCAUCUUUAUGACUUCAAAGUGAAGGCGGAGGGAAACUGAGGCACUCAAGGGGGUUGAACAAGGUCACACAGAGCUGGACCUGUACAUAGAACCCAGGAGUCCUGGCUCCUAUCCCCUUCUUGCUCUAAACAUUAGUCCACACUCCUCACACUCACGGCAGCCACUGGAGUAGCCCCUGUGAGGUAUGUAGUAUAGGGUCUCAGCCCAUUCUCCAGGCAUCAUUUCCCCCCUCACUGGCAGUGCCUUUGGAGAGGCCAGGGGCUGAGUGGACUGUGGGGUGGUCGCCCCAGCUGUAGCAAGGGAGGGGGCUCUCGUGGUUGAAUCAGGUGGGGGCUGGGAGUCAUUUUCAGAGCAUAGUAAGAGGUGUAUUUCCAAGGUUACAUUACUACACAAACAGCUGUCAAAGCAAGGUUCAGACUAUUGGCAGGCACAAUGCAGAAAAGCAACACCCAUUACCGGGGGUCAUUAAUCAAAUGGAUUUUCAAAGCCACCCAGAGCCGCAUUGCUCCCCGCUGAGCUCCUGAUAGCCCCGGUAGCUGUUUGCUCAAAAAUAGCAGCCAGCUGAUCUACCGCCAUGCCCCCACCCCUGUGGAAACAUCUCUCCCUUUGCCCCACAGAAAUUAUGAAGCACACAGCAGGCAACGAUAGCGAAGGUUAAGAUUCUGUCACGGUUCUUUUUACUAAAAGUCACGAGCAAUAAACA